UCAAAAAAAUCCGGGGCGACCUUUCUUUGGGUGUCCACUCUACAACAAAGAGGGGUUACCACAGUGCAACUUUUUCAAGUGGUCUGAUAGUAGUGAAUACAAAGAGGAAGCCCUUGUAAAGAGAGAAGCAGAAGUAUUAAAGAAAGAGGAAGAACUUAAAAAGAGAGAAGUAGAAGUAUUAAGGCAAGAUGAAGAACUUAAAAAAAGAGAAGCAGAGUUCGAGAAGAGGGAGUUGGCACUCCAUAAUGAUCACGCCCAGUUUCGCAGUCAAGAAGCCGACAUGCUACAUGCACGCAAACUAUUUCUUGUACUUUGGCUAAUAGCCAUAGUUAUUUACUUAUAUUUGAUACUGUCACUGCGUUGACGAGUUUGUAUUUGUAUUUUAUAGAAACUUAGCGUUUGUAAGUCGAGACUUUCAAAUUAUGUAUUUGAGACGUUAUUCUGAUU